UUUUAUGGAGAGUUUGAUCCUGGCUCAGGACGAACGCUGGCGGCGUGCCUAAUACAUGCAAGUCGAGCGAAUGAUGAGGAAGCUUGCUUUCUCUGAUUUAGCGGCGGACGGGUGAGUAACACGUGGGCAACCUACCUUGUAGUUUGGGAUAACUCCGGGAAACCGGGGCUAAUACCAAAUAAUCUCUUUUACUUCAUGGUGAAAGACUGAAAGACGGUUUUGGCUGUCGCUAUAGGAUGGGCCCGCGGCGCAUUAGCUAGUUGGUGAGGUAACGGCUCACCAAGGCAACGAUGCGUAGCCGACCUGAGAGGGUGAUCGGCCACACUGGGACUGAGACACGGCCC
rnacentral:rRNA from 1 species